rnacentral:rRNA from 1 species
UACGUAGGGUGCAAGCGUUGUCCGGAAUUAUUGGGCGUAAAGAGCUCGUAGGCGGUUCGUCGCGUCGGCUGUGAAAACCCGGAGCUCAACUCCGGGCCUGCAGUCGAUACGGGCGGACUUGAGUGUUGCAGGGGAGACUGGAAUUCCUGGUGUAGCGGUGAAAUGCGCAGAUAUCAGGAGGAACACCGGUGGCGAAGGCGGGUCUCUGGGCAGUUACUGACGCUGAGGAGCGAAAGCGUGGGGAGCGAACAGG